AACAAGCAGAUUCAUGAGCCCUUCACUUCAUUGCAGCUGUCGUCUUUGAUAUGUUGUGCUUAGUUUUUAGCUAGAUGUCAUGAUGCACACUUUUUUGCCAAAUUUAUCAAAUUAACAUUUUCCCUGAAGACUUGUGGUUUCUUCUGAUGCUAAUUUUGGUGAGCAACCCCAAUCUUUGACGGACAGACAACCCGUCCAGGGUGUAAAUUACCUCUUGCCUAUUGACUGCUGGAAACUGGACCAAGACUCCCAGCGGCCCUGCACAGAAAAGGGGGUAAAUACAACGGAUGGACUGGCAGGAGGCAGACAGAAUCAGGUGAAAAGUCACAUGAAUGGAAAACAAAGUCAACAGGGGGGUUGCACAGUGAGGUCAACGAAGUCCAAGAGCACAAGACGAACGUUAACAACACAAGGAGCGGGAGUGGAUGAAAACAGCUAGCCUACAUACUGGGAUAGCUGAUCACUGGAGUGGAAACAGGUGAGGAACAACCUGAAG